UUAAAUUGAAGAGUUUGAUCAUGGCUCAGAUUGAACGCUGGCGGCAGGCCUAACACAUGCAAGUCGAACGGUAACAGGAAGCAGCUUGCUGCUUCGCUGACGAGUGGCGGACGGGUGAGUAAUGUCUGGGAAAACUGCCUGAUGGAGGGGGAUAACUACUGGAAACGGUGGCUAAUACCGCAUAACGUCGCAAGACCAAAGAGGGGGGACCUUCGGGCCUCUUGCCAUCAGAUGUGCCCAGAUGGGAUUAGCUAGUUGGUGAGGUAACGGCUCACCAAGGCGACGAUCCCUAGCUGGUCUGAGAGGAUGACCAGCCACACUGGAACUGAGACACGGUCCAGACUCCUACGGGAGGCAGCAGUGGGGAAUAUUGCACAAUGGGCGCAAGCCUGAUGCAGCCAUGCCGCGUGUAUGAAGAAGGCCUUCGGGUUGUAAAGUACUUUCAGCGGGGAGGAAGGUGUUGUGGUUAAUAACCGCAGCAAUUGACGUUACCCGCAGAAGAAGCACCGGCUAACUCCGUGCCAGCAGCCGCGGUAAUACGGAGGGUGCAAGCGUUAAUCGGAAUUACUGGGCGUAAAGCGCACGCAGGCGGUCUGUCAAGUCGGAUGUGAAAUCCCCGGGCUCAACCUGGGAACUGCAUUCGAAACUGGCAGGCUUGAGUCUUGUAGAGGGGGGUAGAAUUCCAGGUGUAGCGGUGAAAUGCGUAGAGAUCUGGAGGAAUACCGGUGGCGAAGGCGGCCCCCUGGACAAAGACUGACGCUCAGGUGCGAAAGCGUGGGGAGCAAACAGGAUUAGAUACCCUGGUAGUCCACGCCGUAAACGAUGUCUACUUGGAGGUUGUGCCCUUGAGGCGUGGCUUCCGGAGCUAACGCGUUAAGUAGACCGCCUGGGGAGUACGGCCGCAAGGUUAAAACUCAAAUGAAUUGACGGGGGCCCGCACAAGCGGUGGAGCAUGUGGUUUAAUUCGAUGCAACGCGAAGAACCUUACCUGGUCUUGACAUCCACAGAACUUUCCAGAGAUGGAUUGGUGCCUUCGGGAACUGUGAGACAGGUGCUGCAUGGCUGUCGUCAGCUCGUGUUGUGAAAUGUUGGGUUAAGUCCCGCAACGAGCGCAACCCUUAUCCUUUGUUGCCAGCGAUUAGGUCGGGAAACUCAAAGGAGACUGCCAGUGAUAAACUGGAGGAAGGUGGGGAUGACGUCAAGUCAUCAUGGCCCUUACGACCAGGGCUACACACGUGCUACAAUGGCGCAUACAAAGAGAAGCGACCUCGCGAGAGCAAGCGGACCUCAUAAAGUGCGUCGUAGUCCGGAUUGGAGUCUGCAACUCGACUCCAUGAAGUCGGAAUCGCUAGUAAUCGUGGAUCAGAAUGCCACGGUGAAUACGUUCCCGGGCCUUGUACACACCGCCCGUCACACCAUGGGAGUGGGUUGCAAAAGAAGUAGGUAGCUUAACCUUCGGGAGGGCGCUUACCACUUUGUGAUUCAUGACUGGGGUGAAGUCGUAACAAGGUAACCGUAGGGGAACCUGCGGUUGGAUCACCUCCUUACCUUAAAGAA
rnacentral:rRNA from 1 species